AGAGCUUGUGUGCGCUACAAAGCCACUUCCAGACACCACGUUUCGGUUCGCUUUUUCAGUCAGGUUAACCUUGAUACACAAGCUACAUGAACUCCGCGCUAGCAGCCGAGGUAAUACGGGGGGGGCUAGCGUGAUUCGAAAUGAUUGGGCUACAAGGGCAUGUAGGCUGUCUAUAAUCUUCAUGUGGCAAGGUUGUUAUUUAGAAAGAUAGCCUUUGUGAAAUCCCUAAGUUUCUUUUAGGAAGCGCACUUGUUAACAAAAGAUAUAGACUUGAGCAAGCAAGAAGAGAGUGGAAUUCUUAGAGGAGAGGUUCAAUUUGUAGAUACUAGGAGGAACGCCUAAAGCGAAGGCAGCUCUCUAAUGCUUCACUGAUGCUGAUAUGCGAAAGCGUGGGGAGCGAAUGGGAUUAGAUACCCCAGUAGUCCACACCCUCAACCAUGAACACUAUCAAAUCAUUCAACAAACAGAAGGUUAUGUGAAGUAAUUUGGUGGUUGCAGCUAACGCGUUAAAUCUUCC
rnacentral:rRNA from 1 species